AUAUUAAGUUCUACUGUCAUAUAUAGUGUUGACAAACAUUGAUACAGAUUUCCUGUGAAGUGCAGAAGCACCGUCGUAGAAGCAGAGAAGCAGAGAUGCAGAGGCAGCGCUGGUGACUCACACAUGGAGAGCUGGAGUUCUUGGUCUAGUGGGAUAAACUGACCUGGAUAUCAUUUCAGUGCAGCGGAGUGUUCUGGGCCAUUUGUAAUUCACUGAAUCUGCUUUGUCAGAGCAAGUCUAUCAUCUCUUUUGGAUGGAGUGUGGCCAGCCCUGCCUUGUGAUGUAAGGAAAUCAGGAAACGCUUGUCAGGUGACAACACCGUGCCACACACUCUUCUAGGGGUUUCCACGUAAAUCACUGUAUUCAUUUCUGUUGCUGCUUUACCACAUUUCCACGUAUUUCAUGGCUUAAAAGAAUUGAAAUUGUAUCAUCUCACAGUUCUGUGGGGCAGAAGUCUGACGUGGGUGUCACUGGGCAAAAAUCACCAUGUGGUCUGGGCUGCAUUCCUCAUUGGAGAAUUGUUUCCAAGUGCUUUUGUCCAAAUAUAGUUCCUUGUGGUUGCAGGACUGAGGUGUCUGUUCCCUUGCUGGCCAUCUGUUGGGGGCUGCCCUCAGUUCCUGAGGCCUCCAUCUAGUCUUUGCACGUGGUCCCAUCAGCUCAGGACUAGCUGGGCCAGGGACCUGGUCAGGCUCUCCAGUUCCCCUGUGUGCAUUUCUCUUCUUCCACUCGGAGAAAGUUCUAUGCCCUAUUUUAAAA